AGGCUUGAGGCUGGUAGAGGAAGACGGAACAGCUAGUGUAGGGGUAAAAUCCUUAGAUAUUAGCUGGAACGCCGGUGACGAAGGUGGUUUUCUGGGCCAGACCUGACGCUGAGGCUCGAAAGCCAGGGGAGCGAACGGGAUUAGAUACCCCGGUAGUCCUGGCCCUAAACGAUGCUCACUAGGUGUGGGGUGCGUAGAGCAUUCCGUGCUAAAGUUAACGCGAUAAGUGAGCCGCCUGGGGAGUACGCCCGCAAGGGUGAAACUCAAAGGAAUUGACGGGCCCCCGCACAAGCGGUGGAGCGUGUGGUUUAAUUCGACGCUAAGCGAAGGACCUUACCAGGGCUUGACAUACUGGUGGUAGUGAACCGAAAGGGGAACGACCUGGCUUUGGUCAGGAGCCAGUACAGGUGGUGCACGGCCGUCGUCAGCUCGUGCCGUGAGGUGUUGGGUUAAGUCCCGCAACGAGCGCAACCCCUGUAUCUAGUUGCCAUCGGUUAGGCCGGGCACUCUAGAUAGACUGCCGUCGACGAGGCGGAGGAAGGGGGGGAUGACGUCAGGUAUCGUGCCCCUUAUGUUCUGGGCGACACACGCGCUACAAUGGGCCGGACAACGGGGAGCGAUGCAGCGAUGCAGAGCAAAACCCUAAAACUGGUUCUCAGUUCGGAUUGCAGGCUGCAACCCGCCUGCAUGAAGCCGGAAUCGCUAGUAAUCGCGGAUCAGCCAAGCCGCGGUGAAUACGUUCUCGGGGGUUGUACACACCGCCCGUCAAGCCACCCGAGUUGGCAACACCUGAAGGCGAGUGAUCCAACCCGCAAGGGAGGGUACUCGUUCAAGGUGGGGCUGGCAAGGGGGGCUAAGUCGUAACAAGGUAGCCCUACCGGAAGGUGGGGCUGGAUCACCUCCUUUCU
rnacentral:rRNA from 1 species